CGGAACGUGCCUGAUCGUGGGGGAUAACGGAGCGAAAGCUUUGCUAAUACCGCAUACGAUCUGCGGAUGAAAGCAGGGGACCGCAAGGCCUUGCGCGGACGGAGCGGCCGAUGGCAGAUUAGGUAGUUGGUGGGAUAAAAGCUUACCAAGCCGACGAUCUGUAGCUGGUCUGAGAGGACGACCAGCCACACUGGGACUGAGACACGGCCCAGACUCCUACGGGAGGCAGCAGUGGGGAAUUUUGGACAAUGGGCGAAAGCCUGAUCCAGCCAUGCCGCGUGCAGGAUGAAGGCCUUCGGGUUGUAAACUGCUUUUGUACGGAACGAAAAGCCUCUUUCUAAUAAAGAGAGGUCAUGACGGUACCGUAAGAAUAAGCACCGGCUAACUACGUGCCAGCAGCCGCGGUAAUACGUAGGGUGCAAGCGUUAAUCGGAAUUACUGGGCGUAAAGCGUGCGCAGGCGGUGAUGUAAGACAGAUGUGAAAUCCCCGGGCUCAACCUGGGAACUGCAUUUGUGACUGCAUCGCUGGAGUGCGGCAGAGGGGGAUGGAAUUCCGCGU
rnacentral:rRNA from 1 species